rnacentral:rRNA from 1 species
AUUGAACGCUGGCGGAAUGCUUUACACAUGCAAGUCGAACGGCAGCACGGGAGCUUGCUCCUGGUGGCGAGUGGCGAACGGGUGAGUAAUGCAUCGGAACGUACCUAUUAGUGGGGGAUAACUAUCCGAAAGGAUAGCUAAUACCGCAUACGUCCUGAGGGAGAAAGCGGGGGAUCGCAAGACCUCGCGCUAAUAGAGCGGCCGAUGUUGGAGUAGCUAGUUGGUGGGGUAAAGGCCUACCAAGGCGACGAUCCAUAGCUGGUCUGAGAGGAUGAUCAGCCACACUGGGACUGAGGCACGGCCCAGACUCCUACGGGAGGCAGCAGUGGGGAAUUUUGGACAAUGGGGGCAACCCUGAUCCAGCCAUUCCGCGUGAGUGAAGAAGGCCUUCGGGUUGUAAAGCUCUUUCGGCAGGAACGAAACGGUGGUUACUAAUACUAGCUACUAAUGACGGUACCUGAAGAAGAAGCACCGGCUAACUACGUGCCAGCCGCCGCGGUAA